rnacentral:rRNA from 1 species
GACGAACGCUGGCGGCGUGCCUAAUACAUGCAAGUAGAACGCUGAGGAGAGGAGCUUGCUCUUCUCGGAUGAGUUACGAACGGGUGAGUAACGCGUAGGUAACCUGCCGGGUAGCGGGGGAUAACGAUUGAAAACGAUAGCUAAUACCGCAUAAAAUGGAUUAUUGCAUGAUAAUUAAUUGAAAGAUGAAACUGCAUCACUACCAGAUGGACCUGCGUUGUAUUAGCUAGAUGGUGAGGUAACGGCUCACCAAGGCGGCGAUACAUAGCCGGCCUGAGAGGGUGGUCGGCCACACUUGGACUUGGACCCGGCCCAGACUCCUACGGGGGGCAGCAGUAGGGAAUCUUCGGCAAUGGGGGGAACCCUGACCGAGCAACGCCGCGUGAGUGAAGAAGGUUUUCGGAUCGUAAAGCUCUGUUGUAAGAGAAGAACGGGUGUGUGAGUGGAACGUUCACACUGUGACGGUAUCUUACCAGAAAGCGACGGCUAACUACGUG